rnacentral:rRNA from 1 species
UACGAAGGGGGCUAGCGUUGCUCGGAAUCACUGGGCGUAAAGCGCACGUAGGCGGCUUUUUAAGUCAGAGGUGAAAUCCUGGAGCUCAACUCCAGAACUGCCUUUGAUACUGGAGAGCUUGAGUCCGGGAGAGGUGAGUGGAACUGCGAGUGUAGAGGUGAAAUUCGUAGAUAUUCGCAAGAACACCAGUGGCGAAGGCGGCUCACUGGCCCGGUACUGACGCUGAGGAGCGAAAGUGUGGGGAGCGAACAGG